UCUGUAUUAUCAACCCUGUGUUCAGCACCAAUGCAAAGCACAGCCCCACACCAGCCAUUGGGAAGAAAAUUAACCCUACCCCAGCCAAAGCCAGCACACUCCCACACUGACCUGCUCUGUGAUGUGUCUGUAAUAACAUGCAUAUACAUUACACGUGUGUGUGUGUGUGUGUGUAUCAGGAGUAGUUACUAAAAUACAGAAAUGUUAUCAGUAACAUUAAACAUGAAUAAUUUUCCCUAUAAUGAAAAUCUUCCCUCAUAAUACAGAAGUAAGGAAUUCUCAGACUAGAUUAAGUAGGAACCAGCUCAGCAUCCAAGCAUAUAGAGAAAAAAUAGGGAAGAAACUACUUAGAACUAGCUAAGAAGAGGGUUUCUGUAAACCAGAAAUUUCAGUUUAAAUUGUAAGUACAUGUUUUCUGCUUCAUGGAGAAUGAUCAUUUCCCAAAUAACCUAAAAAUUGGCCAUAGAAGCAAUUGCUUCUGUCCAUUAGAAUUUGACAAAAAUUUGACAAAAAUUAUUCAAAUUAACUACCUGAAACAAAAGUACUUGUUUCUCUAGAGGGAUACAAUAUGGUAAACAGAUGUACAUAGCAUGAUUAACUAAGGAGCUAGGUUAAAAAUAUUUUCUAUUGAAAAGAAGAAGGUCAAUAAUAGGUAAAUUAAAGGCUUUUCAUAUGUGAUUCUCUUACUCUUAAUAAAAUCUUCUCUUCUAGUUUCCCCUAAGAGACAAGCUUCUCUCAAGCACUGUGAUCACAGUAUGACAGAAAGUAGCACAAAUGACCAAAUAAGAUCUUCUAUCAUAAAUUUGCAAGGAAAUUCUAAUGAGCUGCUCCCCCCCAACCCCACCCCUUCCUCUUUUGGUUAAAAAACUCUUGCUUUUCUCAGACACAAGGGGAGAAUGUUGAUGCUCAGAGAUGCAAACUAGCCCUUUAAGGCCUUUCCUCAGGAACUGUGCCAACAUUUUUCCAUUUACUCAGCAAAAGCACCCUGCCUUUCAAGCCAGAUUUGCAUAUGCCUUAGUUUGGGAAGGAAACAUAUUCAUACCUAUUUCACUCAAAUUAUAAUAGUGUCACCCAUAGGGUUUAAGAGUUUGUCUGCUUGGACACUGCAAAAUCCUGGUGACACAUAUAAAAAAAUAACUUUACUAGACACCAUUUAUCAUGAGUCUAAUCAACCUAUGUAUUUCAUUCCAAGGUAUGACAACAAUAUAUUUCCUCUUGAUGUUGCUGGCACUGACUUGGAUCAUGGGCCUGCUCUGACCAGGAACAGCUCCAGAACAACAGGCACAUGUUGGAAAACUGCGCUCAGCAUAAAAUUCUAGAAGUGGCACAUUUCAACUGCUCCCUAUCCUUUGGUCUUAAGACAACUAAAGAGCAUCCAGGAAUUUUAUUUCAAAUGUUCAAUUUCAUUCAUUCUUUUGUGGAAAAUUGCAGUAGUCAUCUUCUGUGAAGUGAUUUUAAAUGGUCUGCAAUUACUGGAUUAUCAAGUUGUCCAUGAAGUUGGGGAAUGACCUGAAAACACUAAGCAGCUCAGAAAUUGCAGAGAUAUUGACUUUGAGUUAAUAGUAUAUGCUCAUAAUAAAUAAUAUAUCUAAGCUAAAAACCUUAGGUUAGCAAAAUUUGCUAACCUAAAAAUAUUUUUAAUAAUUGAGUGAUGUUUUUCCAGUUUUCCAGUUUUGCAGUGCAUCACUGGGGAAGAAAGAACUAGCCUUUUCUCAUGUUUUCCUUGUAUUCCAGGAACGCCAAGCUGUUAUAAAGAGGCCCCAGGGACUUGGCUCAUAAGGCUGCUAAACUAGUACUAAGAGGUCUCAGUAUGGAAAAACACUCUCAAAAUGUCUUUUUGCAAUUAUAACCCACUUCCUUUUCACAUCGCUGAGGAAUAUAAGAUAGAGCCCCUCCUCAGUGCUCCAUUAAUCCUCUUGAGAGAGAGCUUUAUUCAAAGAUGGUUAUGGAGAAAUGCAUAUAAUAUUUGUAAGCAAUAUCCUGAUUUGGCUGGCUAGUUCAUUUCUAAUGGGAAGUCUGCAAAACUGUUUCUAAGUUUCUACCAUAAUUUGGCUUUUUUUCUACAUGCCUUUGAACUUGAUAAAACAGACUACAAGGCUCCCAUCCUCCUCACAUUAUAUGUCCUGUGACACAGGAGAUUUUUCAUUUUACACCAGCUCACUCAAUUAAAAAAAAAAAGUGAUUAAUUUUUAUUGAUUAACAAAUUACUGUUAGCAGGAAUCCCUUCAAUGGAUGGUCUGACCCUGAAAAAUGAUGCAGAAAUUAACUCAAUUUUGAUACGCCAAAGAGAAAUGCAUGAGUGGUUUAGAUUCCUCUCUAAACACACCUGUUCACAAUGUGUACCCUUACUUAAGGUGAAGCCUUUGCUAUAAACUGUCAUAUCCUUAAGGUAAACUCAGCUUAGCCUGUGGGUACAUGUUUAAAAUCACCCUUACAAGUGCACAGCCCUAAGACCAGCUGUAUGAUCCCAAACUCCAGCAGAGCCUUAAUUUGUUCAGCACUACUCCAGUACUGCAGAGUAAUUCCAAAAGAUAUAAUGCACAUAAGCACAACUGGUGUAAAAGUUUCUUGAAAACCCUCAAUUUUAUUGGAAAAGGAAAAUAAUAUUAAGUAGACCUGUGAUGAUCAUACAGGAUGUUUUAUUAGUGUAACUUCCCUCUCAAAGACACUACUGUAAACACUGGGGCUAGUAAUUCUGCAACAGUUUUUUUCAUUCUAUACUGCAUUGUUUUAUACUGCAUUGUUUCAAGUAGGUUCUCUAAUUAAUUCUAAGGAAAGUGUAAAAGAAAUUGUUGUAAUACAUGCAUCUCAAAUGGCUUGAGCCAUAUAAGACAUCUUAAGACAAGCAUAAUCACACUAUACAUUUUAUUUACGGUGUUCUAUUACUGCUGGUUACCAGCAACUUUACUGUAGUGAGAACUGUGCAUGAAAACAUCCAAGAUACUGCAUAACAGUGCAGGAGAAACCAAUUCUGAAAUUGUUAUUUAUGGAGCUCAAUCAGUCUUCAGUCACAAAUUAGCUCAAGUCUACCAAAAUCCUAAUGUAAUUUUAUUGUCCCUUUCUGACCAUCUGAGAUGGCCUUGUAUUUGGAAGUAAAAGUAUAAUUUGGUGGUUUGACAAGUUUCAUGAUGUUUCUGCAAAACACUGAACAGAUUUUGGUUUGGCUUUGAGGGAAGGGGAGGUGUUUUACACAAGGGGGAAUUUUUUCUAAAAUAAUUAAAGUUCUGAGAACUUUUUAAUACAAAUUCCAUUAUAUGUGUUACGAAUGUAUGUAUUAUUUGUGUUCAACUACUUUGGAGACCAUUACAUUCCAAGGUUCCCUGAGUUCUCCCCAUAGCGUAAUAGCUGCAUAAAGAUCAAGACAUGACAGAGUCCACAAAAUUUCAAAUUCCAAAGGAAAACACAGUUUACAGCAAGAGCCAUAGAUGCUUUUGGACUAGCAUACCAUCACUGGCAAGACAAGCCCUGAUUUCAUCCCACUUAAUGUAAAAAUUCAACCAGGCUAAUUCAAUUAUCAGUGAAUUGCAAAAAAGAUGCAUUUUGUUGCACUAUGUCUUAACCUUAUGAAUAAUAUAUAACUUUUCAAAAUUCUUCGGACUGGCCACAGUUAACAUUUACCAUUUUAAUCAUGCAAAAUUUAAUUACACUGAAUAUCUUGAGCCACAGUACCUUUCCCUGCGAUAGCCAGCAUAUUAACAUCAUCUAAGGUAAUAUAAAAUCUAAAAAUAUGGUACUACUCUUCUGUGCUUUUGGCAACAUACACUCUCUUAACCUGCAUCUCGUAAUCAUCUAUUGUAUCUAUGUGCAAGUGAGUGCCAACUGUUUGCAUUUAUCUAUUGUGACUGAAAGGAAAAUUCAGAAAGUACUCACCAGCCUUCUAACGAUUUCUCUGUCUGACAGGGGUGACAGCUGACAGGUUUUAACUACAUAUAAAGUAUACAUAACACAUACUUUUUUCAUAUAUACUUGUAUUUGUUAUGAUUGCACAGGAUGAUCUCUUACUGUAACCCAUCCUCCCCACAAGUCAUUCAUCUGAAUACAGGGAUGAGCAAUCCUACAGCUAGUGUUCUUAUUCUUCUAUAUUAUUCUCACAAUUUAAGAUUUAACUCCUUUUUCCUUCGAAACUGAUCAUUCUAGGUCAGAAGCUGAAAGCAUGCUAGCAAGUUCCCUGACUUCUAGUCUCCAUUUUAUCUUAAACUAGCUUCAUUCUCUGAAUACUGAUAGGAUAAAAGCAAUAGCUCCAUCAGAAGAGUGUUAUUUCCAACCAGUGAUGGUUUCCUCCCAUCUCAGUUUCAGGUGAACAAAACUAUUAGAUGAAUAAGUCAAUAGAAUACUGCUAAGUACUCUCAUAAACAUCAGAAAAAAUGGCAUGACAGGCAGCAAAAACUAUUGUAAAUAUUAAUUUAAUGCAAGACACAUACCAGUCUGGGAGAUAAGAAUUAUGCUAUAAUUUAAAGUUAUACUUUAAUUUUUCCAUAGAUAAAACUACUCAUUCCAUACCUAUAUGGUUGUUCUUUAUCUCCUUCCACUCCAGAUUCCAGUGCUUUUUUCACUACUAGUUCAUUUUCUUGUGGGUAAACUGAACAAGUGCAGUAAACAAUAGCUUGUACUUUGUUAACUACAAAACAAAACAAAUUUUCUACUGUUCAGAUUCUUCAUACAGACAGUGGCUUGGUAAGGACUGAAAACAUCACAAAAAUUAUGCUUGGAUGUCACUUUUACCAAUAAGAAUAUCCUCCUGCACACAUUAGUAUGCAAACUCUAAUGGUUUUUAAUAAUUAAAAUGUUAAAUAUUUGCAGAUCACAGCACAAAUUCAAAGCUGUAUCUAUCUUUUCACACAGCUACAAAAGGAGAGGGGAGGGAAGUGGCAGCAUGCAGAUGGAGUCUGACUACAUUUGCAGCAUUUCCAAAUCAGAGUAUGACUAAGUCACAAGCCAGUUCUAUACACAAUGCUGAAGUCUGGUGAACACUAGGACACAGAGACACCUUCAGAUUGGAGGCGAUCAUUAUUCAGGGGUUUUGGUUACAUGCUUAUUGUUAAUUAAUAGAGUAAUCCAUGUAUUUUUAACAAUGUAAAAACUGGUGAUAGUACAACGGAAUCGAUAGUACGAGGUCCUCCCAGAAACUGGAGAACUAGCACACUUACAUUUCAGUGCAUGAAUCAACUCGUUAAGCUGCCUCUCAGCAAGAAUACCAAGUUUAUCCUCAGACACAAAUCCCUGGAAAAGGUCUCGUAGCAACCCUGCAUCUAAAAGUAGAGAGUUGUAAAUUUAGUAUUGCAACUUAGUGUCUUAAAAUUCAGUUGUUUGCAGAAACAGACGUGGUUGUUACUAAUGCAGUUAGAAGGUAGGUUUUACAAAUUAGAAUACCAAGAAGUGCCUAAUUUAUUUGUUUUCCUUCUUUACCUGUAAUUACUGGUGCCUCUUAUUUGCUUCUAUUUAAUGAAAAUUGUACAGUGAACAGACUUAUACAAACAGUCAAUAAAGGAAUGUAAGCAAAUGGAAAAUAAUAUACAUAUUGGUAUAUUGAAAUAAA